CAACCAGACUCCUACGGGAGGCAGCGGUGGGGAAUAUUGCACAAUGGGGGAAACCCUGAUGCAGCGACGCCGCGUGAGUGAAGAAGUAUUUCGGUAUGUAAAGCUCUAUCAGCAGGGAAGAAAUACUGACCUUACGGUCAGCAGACGGUACCUGACUAAGAAGCCCCGGCUAACUACGUGCCAGCAGCCGCGGUAAUACGUAGGGGGCAAGCGUUAUCCGGAUUUACUGGGUGUAAAGAGUUGCGUAGGUGGCAUAAUAAGUAGUUAGUGAAAUCUGGUGGCUCAACCAUUCAGACUAUUAGCUAAACUGUUAAGCUCGAGACCGUUAGGGGUAACUGGAAUUUCUAGUGUAGGAGUGAAAUCCGUAGAUAUUAGAAGGAACACCGAUAGCGUAGGCAGGUUACUGGGACGGUUCUGACACUAAGGCACGAAAGCGUAGGGAGCAAACGGGAUUAGAUACCCGAGUAC
rnacentral:rRNA from 1 species